rnacentral:rRNA from 1 species
UACGUAGGGCGCAAGCGUUGUCCGGAAUUAUUGGGCGUAAAGAGCUCGUAGGCGGCUUGUCACGUCGGAUGUGAAAGCCCGGGGCUUAACCCCGGGUCUGCAUUCGAUACGGGCAGGCUAGAGUUCGGUAGGGGAGAUCGGAAUUCCUGGUGUAGCGGUGAAAUGCGCAGAUAUCAGGAGGAACACCGGUGGCGAAGGCGGAUCUCUGGGCCGAUACUGACGCUGAGGAGCGAAAGCGUGGGGAGCAAACAGG